AGUGAACGCUGGCGGCGUGCCUAACACAUGCAAGUCGAACGAGAACGGAACUAGCUUGCUAGUUUGUCAGCUAAGUGGCGCACGGGUGAGUAAUGUAUAGAUAACAUGCCCUUUACAAAGAAAUAACAGUUGGAAACGACUGCUAAUGUCUUAUAUGCCUUUAAUACAAAAGUAUGCAAGGGAAAGAUUUAUCGGUAAAGGAUUGGUCUGUAUUGUAUCAGUUAGUUGGUGAGGUAAUGGCUUACCAAGACAAUGACGCAUAACUGGUUUGAGAGGAUGAUCAGUCACACUGGAACUGAGACACGGUCCAGACUCCUACGGGAGGCAGCAGUGGGGAAUAUUGCACAAUGGGGGAAACCCUGAUGCAGCAACGCCGCGUGGAGGAUGACACAUUUCGGUGCGUAAACUCCUUUUAUAUAGGAAGAUAAUGACGGUACUAUAUGAAUAAGCGCCGGCUAACUCCGUGCCAGCAGCCGCGGUAAUACGGAGGGCGCAAGCGUUACUCGGAAUCACUGGGCGUAAAGAGCGUGUAGGCGGGUAAUUAAGUCAGAAGUGAAAUCCUAUAGCUUAACUAUAGAACUGCUUUUGAAACUGA
rnacentral:rRNA from 1 species